UACGGAGGGGGCGAGCGUUAUUCGGAAUUAUUGGGCGUAAAGGGUGCGUAGGUGGACUUUUAAGUCAGUGGUGAAAGCCUGUAGCUUAACUAUAGAAUUGCCAUUGAAACUGAAAGUCUUGAGUACAGUUGAGGUGAGCGGAAUGUAUCAUGUAGCGGUGAAAUGCUUAGAUAUGAUACAGAACACCGAUUGCGAAGGCAGCUCACUAAUCUGCAACUGACACUGAGGCACGAAAGCGUGGGGAUCAAACAGG
rnacentral:rRNA from 1 species